rnacentral:lncRNA from 1 species
GUAUAAGAAGUGAUUUUCAAUCUCCUUUCCUCAGGAGCCUGUUAAUGCCCUUAAUCCCCAGAAGAAACUUUCUAACACAAAACAUUAACAUCUUAAUAAAAGUUUUCUCCUUUCCUAUUGCAGGAAACAGCCUAAAGUGCUCCAGAACAAUGAAUAUGACUUUGUAAAUGUGUAAUAUUACACUAAAGCUGUCAUAUUAAUGAUAACCUGAGACCAAUUAAAGGGCCAGUGUGACCUGAAGACUUUUCAUCAUCUGAGCAAUGAAGUCACGGGUUCCCUGGUAUCCAACCCAGAUCAUCAUAAAAGGUGGAUUUAGUUGGAGACUUUCUGUUGACAACCUCAGAUUACCGAAGAGGAGAGUAUACCCAGUGUUUUCUCACGACAGUCCUCAGCUCUGGCACACUCUUCUCCUUCCACCUCAUUAGCUCUUUGCAGUCUGGAUUUCUUGAC